GUGCCAGCAGCCGCGGUAAAACGUAGGAGGCAAGCGUUAUCCGGAGUUACUGGGCGUAAAGCGCGUGCAGGCGGAUUGAUAAGUUACUCAUGAAAGCUCCUGGCUAAACUAGGAGAGGUUGAGUAAAACUGUCAGUCUAGAGUAGAUGAGAGGUAGGUAGAAUUCCUUGUGUAGUGGUGAAAUGCGUAGAUAUAAGGAAGAAUACCGGUGGCGAAGGCGACCUACUGGCAUCUAACUGACGCUCAGACGCGAAAGCAUGGGUAGCGAACGGGAUUAGAAACCCUAGUAGUCC
rnacentral:rRNA from 1 species